AUUGAACGCUGGCGGCAGGCUUAACACAUGCAAGUCGAGCGGGGGAAGGUAGCUUGCUACCGGACCUAGCGGCGGACGGGUGAGUAAUGCUUAGGAAUCUGCCUAUUAGUGGGGGACAACAUCUCGAAAGGGAUGCUAAUACCGCAUACGUCCUACGGGAGAAAGCAGGGGAUCUUCGGACCUCGCGCUAAUAGAUGAGCCUAAGUCGGAUUAGCUAGUUGGUGGGGUAAAGGCCUACCAAGGCGACGAUCUGUAGCGGGUCUGAGAGGAUGAUCCGCCACACUGGGACUGAGACACGGCCCAGACUCCUACGGGAGGCAGCAGUGGGGAAUAUUGGACAAUGGGGGGAACCCUGAUCCAGCCAUGCCGCGUGUGUGAAGAAGGCCUUAUGGUUGUAAAGCACUUUAAGCGAGGAGGAGGCUACUUUAGUUAAUACCUAGAGAUAGUGGACGUUACUCGCAGAAUAAGCACCGGCUAACUCUGUGCCAGCAGCCGCAGUAA
rnacentral:rRNA from 1 species